rnacentral:tRNA from 1 species
UGCUUGGGUAGCUCAGUUGGUAGAGCACUUGCCCGCGGAAGGCAAAGGUCCCGAGUUCGAGUCUCGGCCCGGCAC